GAGGCCGCCUUGGCGGUGACCGAGACCGGGAGUCCGCGACGCCCAGGCCGCGGCCGCGGCGUCGAGGCCGCCUUGGCGGUGAGCGAGCCCGAGACGUCCAAGCCGCGGUGGCGGUGUCCAGGCCGCCUUGGUGGUGACCUAGGCCGCCUGAACGGAUGCGCAGGGGCGUGCGCCCGGCUUCCCCAGUCCGGCCUUCCCGCCGGCUCCUCCCUCCACGGCAGCUUCCCCGGCUCGCGCCCUUUCCUCCCUCCCCUCCCGAUCCCUCACGCGCGGCCGUCGUCGUCGCCGUCGACCUGCCCCCACCACGGAUCCCCACACGCGGUGUGCGAGUACCUCCUGCGCACCCUCGCUGUUGCCUGCGUCGCGUCCUCCCCCGAGACGGACGAGCAGAUGGGAUCGACGACGACCGGAUGGUCGUAGUGCUGGCAUCGGCGAGCAGGGCAAGCAUAUGGCUCCACUGGUGACGGAAGGAAUGGUGGCUGGUGUAUCCUAAGCAAUGGUUCCCUAGGCGGCAUGCGCAACCACGUCAGAGCAACAGCCAGCACGCCGGCGCGCUGUUCACCACCAGCUGCUGCAACCCAUUAGCCGUCCAUGUCUGUGCAGGUAACCUGUUCGAGUAAGUGCAUGUGAAAGGCACAGUUGUGGAUUAGUUAGUUUUCUUGUGCGUCCUCCUGUUGAUUCACCUUCAUUCACCUUCAAAUUUAUUAAGAUGCAUCUGUGAUUUUAAUCUGAGUUGUAAUCCUCUUGUUUUAAUCUGAGUAGUCUCAAAGGUUUUUAUUGAAAUGCAUCUAUGAUUCUGGAGAUAAAUAAAGAUCAUGGACAUACAUAAAAAAUCUAACGAAAUGUAUGGCUUUUAUUUUGCUUAUUGGAGGUGGUACCUAAUUGCUUAAGGCUAAUAUUGUUGGUUAGUGUAUGGCUACAAUGCAGUUAAUUGGUUCCAUAUUUUCAAAUGUAAGUCUUGUCUUUUACCUUUUCUUUUGCAAUGCUGAUUUGUGGUAAAGAGUACUGCUAUACUAACCAUCCUAUGAUGUAUCUAGCUAGCUGCAGUUGGGGCUAAUGAUGAUGUGCCUGCAUUUCUCCAAUCUAACACUUCAUUGAACUGACUAGAUGAGUUCUUUUCGUGGCUGUUUUCUGUGCUUCAAAAUUUGGAAUCUAUUAGUCCAAUGUAAGCUGUAAAGGUUUGCAUAUGAAAGUUGUUUUACUGUUGAAAUACUUGUCACAUCAAUACAACAUUGUACUGACACUAUCUCAUUCGGAUAUUGCAGUAAUGAGGGUUACCAAACCUCUUUCAUGUCAGGGACUUUUCUUGCUGAGGACAGCUCAUAUUACUUCAGCAUGCUUGAAAUUCUUCUUGGGAAGUUAUCAAAACACUUAUUUGAUCAGUCCCUGAAGAGAAUUGCCAAGUUUGUUAAUGCUUAAUUUCCGUCCAAAGUGGCAUGAUCCCAGUCAAGAUGAACUUUCUUGUACAAACGAAGGUACUCAUGGUCGCUGCGGAGAAGAUCGGCGGGAAGGUACUCAAGGUCUGCGUCCGCAACCCGGACCUCUUCGCGCUUGACAACUCCCGGCUCGACGUCGACAUUGGCUACCGCAUCAAAUAUAUGACUAUGCACGUUGAUGCUUACGGAGCGAAUUCUUUUCACCCGUAUCAAUGCACCGGUACAAGUUUGAGAAGCAUUAUAUACUUGAUAUAGAGUGAUUGCUAUAGUAUCGUUAAGAGGUUAAUUUCUUUAGUAGUCGUUUCUUGUAAUGAAAUUAUUUUAUAAAUAUGUUUUUCUAUGACACGUGCCACACAUCUCCACUAUCUGUAUAAUUAUCUGUCUAAUUAUCGGCACAUGCUUCUACACAUACCAUUUACCUGUUUU